GACCAGACUCCUACGGGAGGCAGCAGUGGGGAAUAUUGCACAAUGGGGGGAACCCUGAUGCAGCGACGCCGCGUGAGUGAAGAAGUAUUUCGGUAUGUAAAGCUCUGUCAGCAGGGAAGAAGAAAGACGGUACCUGACUAAGAAGCCCCGGCUAACUACGUGCCAGCAGCCGCGGUAAUACGUAGGGGGCAAGCGUUAUCCGGAUUUACUGGGUGUAAAGGGAGCGUAGACGGCAUGGCAAGUCAGAUGUGAAAGCCCGGGGCUCAACCCCGGGACUGCAUUUGAAACUGUCAGGCUGGAGUGCAGGAGAGGUAAGUGGAAUUCCUAGUGUAGCGGUGAAAUGCGUAGAUAUUAGGAGGAACACCAGUGGCGAAGGCGGCUUACUGGACUGUAACUGACGUUGAGGCUCGAAAGCGUGGGGAGCAAACAGGAUUAGAUACCCCUGUA
rnacentral:rRNA from 1 species